UGGAUAAUUUGAUUAAUAAAAACUUCUGGGCAAAGAUAGUAUGUAAAUAAAAUAAUACCACAUGACCAUUAAAAAUUGAGCAGUAGACAAAUGGAUAAAGAAGUUGUGGUUUAUAUACACAAUGGAAUACUACAUGGCAAUGAGAAUGAAAUCUGGCCUUUUGUAGCAACGUGGAUGGAACUGGGGCGUGUUAUGCUAAGUGAAAUAAGUCAUACAGAGAAAGACAGAUACCAUAUGUUUUCACUCUUAUGUGGAUCCUGAGAAACUUAACAGAAGACCAUGGGGGAGGGGAAGGGGGGAAAAAGAGAGGGAAGGAGGCAAACCAUAAGAAACUCUUAAAAACUGAGAAUAAACUGAGGGUUGAUGGGGGGGUGGGGUGGGUGGGAGAGGAAAGUGGAUGAUGGGCAUUGAGGAGGGCACCUGUUGGGUUGAGCACUGGGUGUUGUAUGGAAACCAAUUUGACAAUAAAUUUCAUAUUAAAAAAAACAAAAACAAAUAUAAAAAAAAAUUGAGCGGUAGACCUGUAUUCAUUGAUGUGCAAAUGAGAGUCCAGUAUACAUUAUGUGAAAAAGGCAAUUACAAAAUCACAUACACUAGUAUUCCAUUUAUAAAAGGAAAAUAACUUUCUAUAUGAGAAUACAUGUACAGAAAAAUUACGGAAGGAACCAUCAAUGUGUUAAUUGAUUAUGAUUGUCUUUGGAUGGGAGAAUUGUGGGUGGUAUUUUUUUUCCUUGUGUUUUGGCUUUUUUAACAGAACAAAUAUGUUUAUUAUGUUAAUUAUGCAUUACAUUUCUAAUGAGAAACAUAGAAGGUCUUUUUAUUUUGGAGAACAGUGGAUAGGAGGGCGAGACCCAGUGUGAAAUGCCAUGGCAAGGUUAAGUGAGGAGUGGAAUGUCCCAUUGGUUGUGGCAAACAAGUGGUUAUUGGUGAUCUUGGAAGAGCUGCUGCAUCUGCAUUCAUUGUAGUGAUGUGAUGUGGAUGAGAAUUAGGAAAAUGUGCAUUGCUGUGUAAAGAUCCUUGUCUAAGAAAAGAAGAGGAGGGGCUCCUGGCUGGUUCAAUCCAUGGAACAUGUGACUCUCAAUCUCAGGGUUGUGAGUUCAAUCUCCUCGUUGGGUGUAGAGAUCUUAAAAAUAAAAUCUUAAAAGAAAAAGGGGGCACCUGGGUAGCUCAGUCUGACUCUUGAUUUCGGCUCAGGUCACGAUCUCAUGGUUCACAGGAUUGAGCCCCCGUGUCAAGAUUCUCUCUCUGCCUCUCCUGGGAUUCUCUCCCCCCACACCCCCCCCCCCGCCCUUCCCUUGCUCAUUCGUAAAUAAAUAAAUAAAUAAAUAAGCAAACAAAUAAA